GCGCCUUAUCCUGCAGGAGGUGGCUGAUGCCCUGGGAGGGGGUGCAGACCCAGAAACCAACUCGACCAGCAACAGCAGCCACUCAGCCUGGGACCUGGGCAGCGCCUUCUUUUUCUCAGGGACCAUCAUCACCACCAUCGGUGGGGGAGGGGAUUGGCAUGUGGGGGGCGGCAAGGAGCUUCCUCAUGGGGGAAGGUGCAGGGAGACGGAGGGGUCCCAGGUGGCCCCUAGACUUCCUGCAUCGCCCCUCUGCCCAGGCUAUGGCAAUGUGGCCCUGCGCACAGAUGCCGGGCGCCUCUUCUGCAUCUUUUAUGCGCUGGUGGGGAUUCCGCUGUUUGGGAUCCUACUGGCAGGGGUCGGGGACCGGCUGGGCUCCUCCCUGCGCCAUGGCAUCGGUCACAUUGAAGCCAUCUUCUUGGUGAGCUGCUCCAUGCCCUGCCUGCCCUCGUGCUGGGCUCCGGCUACCCUUCCCCAUGUCCCUGGCACAUAAGCGCGCCCCCAAAGACCAUAAGCCUCUCCCACAGGCUCCUGGGGGUGGGAGUGGGGAGUAUGGGAGUGGGGAUUGUUGGUGUCUCCUGGGUCCUGCCUACUGCCCCUCCCCGCAGAAGUGGCACGUGCCACCAGAGCUAGUAAGAGUUCUGUCAGCGAUGCUUUUCCUGCUGAUCGGCUGCCUGCUCUUUGUCCUCACGCCAACGUUCGUGUUCUGCUAUAUGGAGGACUGGAGCAAGCUGGAGGCCAUCUACUUUGUCAUAGUGACGCUUACCACCGUGGGCUUCGGCGACUAUGUGGCCGGCGCGGACCCCAGGCAGGACUCCCCAGCCUAUCAGCCGCUGGUGUGGUUCUGGAUCCUGCUCGGCCUGGCUUACUUCGCCUCAGUGCUCACCACCAUCGGGAACUGGCUGCGAGUAGUGUCCCGCCGCACUCGGGCAGAGAUGGGCGGCCUCACGGCGCAGGCUGCCAGCUGGACUGGCACGGUGACAGCGCGCGUGACCCAGCGAGCCGGGCCCGCCGCCCCGCCGCCGGAGAAGGAGCAGCCACUGCUGCUUCCACCGCCCUGUCCAGCGCAGCCGCUGGGCAGGCCCCGAUCCCCUUCGCCCCCCGAGAAGGCUCAGCCGCCUUCCCCGCCCACGGCCUCGGCCCUGGAUUAUCCCAGCGAGAACCUGGCCUUCAUCGACGAGUCCUCGGAUACGCAGAGCGAGCGCGGCUGCCCGCUGCCCCGCGCGCCGCGAGAUCGCCGCCGCCCCAAUCCCCCCAGGAAGCCCGUGCGGCCCCGCGGCCCCGGGCGUCCCCGAGACAAAAGCGUGCCGGUGUAGGGGCAGGAUCCCUGGCCGGGCCUCUCAAGGGCUUCGUUUCUGCUCUCCCCGGCAUGCCUGGCUUGUUUGACCAAAGAGCCCUCUUUCCACGAGACUGAAGUCUGGGGAGGAGGCUACAGUUGCCUCUCCGCCGCCUCCCCGGCCCCGGCCCUUCCCUCACUUCCAUUCAUCUCCAGACCCCCCAAGGCUUUCUGUGUCGCUGCCCCGGGCGGGCGUAUCCCUCACAGCACCUCACGACUGUGCCUC
rnacentral:sRNA from 1 species